rnacentral:rRNA from 1 species
GACGAUCCCUAGCUGGUCUGAGAGGAUGACCAGCCACACUGGAACUGAGACACGGUCCAGACUCCUACGGGAGGCAGCAGUGGGGAAUAUUGCACAAUGGGCGCAAGCCUGAUGCAGCCAUGCCGCGUGUAUGAAGAAGGCCUUCGGGUUGUAAAGUACUUUCAGCGGGGAGGAAGGGAGUAAAGUUAAUACCUUUGCUCAUUGACGUUACCCGCAGAAGAAGCACCGGCUAACUCCGUGCCAGCAGCCGCGGUAAUACGGAGGGUGCAAGCGUUAAUCGGAAUUACUGGGCGUAAAGCGCACGCAGGCGGUUUGUUAAGUCAGAUGUGAAAUCCCCGGGCUCAACCUGGGAACUGCAUCUGAUACUGGCAAGCUUGAGUCUCGUAGAGGGGGGUAGAAUUCCAGGUGUAGCGGUGAAAUGCGUAGAGAUCUGGAGGAAUACCGGUGGCGAAGGCGGCCCCCUGGACGAAGACUGACGCUCAGGUGCGAAAGCGUGGGGAGCAAACAGGAUU